AACGAACGCUGGCGGCGUGGAUUAGGCAUGCAAGUCGUACGCGAAAGAGGGGGUAACUCCUCGAGUAGAGUGGCGCACGGGUGAGUAACGCGUGGGUAAUCUACCCUUGGAUUUGGGAUAACUUCGCGAAAGCGGAGCUAAUACCGGAUAGUCUGGCUUUAAUUAAGAAGUCGGUAAAGGAUGCCUCUGCAUAUGCAUUCGUCCGAGGAUGAGCCCGCGUCUCAUUAGCUAGUUGGUAGGGUAAUGGCCUACCAAGGCAACGAUGAGUAGCUGGUCUGAGAGGAUGAUCAGCCACACUGGAACUGAAACACGGUCCAGACUCCUACGGGAGGCAG
rnacentral:rRNA from 1 species